rnacentral:rRNA from 1 species
AGUAGCAAUACUUUUGAUGACGACCGGCGCACGGGUGAGUAACGCGUAUGCAACCUACCUACUACAGGGGAAUAGCCCGAAGAAAUUCGGAUUAAUGCCGCAUAAUACAGGGGCACCGCAUGGUGAUAUUUGUUAAAGAUUAAUUGGUAGUAGAUGGGCAUGCGUUCCAUUAGCCAGUUGGUGAGGUAACGGCUCACCAAAGCAACGAUGGAUAGGGGAACUGAGAGGUUUAUCCCCCACACUGGUACUGAGACACGGACCAGACUCCUACGGGAGGCAGCAGUGAGGAAUAUUGGUCAAUGGGCGAGAGCCUGAACCAGCCAAGUCGCGUGAAGGAUGACUGCCCUAUGGGUUGUAAACUUCUUUUGUACUGGGGUAAAAAAGAGGACGUGUCCUUUCUUGCAAGUACAGUACGAAUAAGCAUCGGCUAACUCCGUGCCAGCAGCCGCGGUAAUACGGAGGAUGCGAGCGUUAUCCGGAUUUAUUGGGUUUAAAGGGUGCGUAGGCGGGGAUUUAAGUCAGCGGUGAAAGCUUGAGGCUCAACCUUAAAAUUGCCGUUGAAACUGGGUUUCUUGAGUGUAUUUGAAGUAGGCGGAAUUCGUUGUGUAGCGGUGAAAUGCAUAGAUAUAACGAAGAACUCCAAUUGCGCAGGCAGCUUACUAAACUACAACUGACGCUGAAGCACGAAAGCG